UGAGUCUACCAUGUUAUGUUCUUAUUUGUUAAACCUUGGCCAUUACUCUAGACCUAAAAUGCUUUGGACCUAAAAAUAACUAGAGCUUGGGGUCAUCAUAAAAAAACAAAACUUGCUGGCAGAUUCUAAAAUCACAACUGGGAAAUUCCAUUACAUUAACUUUUAUAAGAUGUGAGCAAUGUGCUUUGUCAAAGCAAAAGACACCCUUCGGAGGAUUUUAUGGAUGAAAAGCAUGGUGACUUCUUGGAAGGGACCAAGGGGAAACUGAGCUGGAAGGAAGACAAAUGGAAGCGAAGAUGGAGGCUUACGUGAAAGGCAAGUACACUUGUUAUAGUCUGCAUGAUGUAAUUCUUUUUGAAGGGAAGCAAGCUUGCAAAGACAGGGCAGUGUCUCUCUCUCGUUUCUGAGGCAUGCAGGGAGAGAAGAAAAGGGGACGUGUACACGCUUCCACAAAUGAAAAGCACAGGAUGCGAAUUACAUUCUGCUAAUUGGCACAAGGGAUAAUGUAAAGAUCGAUCGCAGUUGUUCUGGAGGAAAACCCAAGGUUAUUCCUUACUGCAAGCUGAGUAAUGUAUUUGCCAAUUCCUGAAGAGGAGAAAGGAUGAACUGGCUCGGGAAGGACGAACGUGGGGAGAAGGUGUGAAGAGUGUUGAGGCAUAAAAUAUAACAUUAGGUUUUAACUUCUUCAAGGACAGUUUCUAAGCCUUCCAGAUAUUUUUAUCGCAUAGUAUGGAAACAUCUUCCUAAAUCAUAAAAGGGAAAAGAAGAAAGGAGACAGAAACAAAGGAAGCAUAAUGUGUUGAAGAUUUGUCUUGCUCAAAGUAUUUGUGUUUGUCCCUUAGUCCUCACAGCAACGCCAAUGGAUUAAAAAACGUUAAUUCAAGAUCACAAUAAAUAAAACAGCUCUGACAACUGA